rnacentral:lncRNA from 1 species
UGGUGUCUUCGGGACGUAGGCUAUCCACCGAGAGGGCGGAGUCCUCGGAGUCCGUGAAUAAAGGGACUCCAGCUUUCGGGUUUUUAAAAACCUCUUCUCUCUGCGCGUGCGGCGUGUGAGGUGUGUUCUGCGCAUAGACUGUGGUUCUUCGACGAGUCUAUUAUGGAAGUGGAAGAGGAAGAGGAAGAGGAAAUUGUGAGACAAGUUAGGAAGAAGAUAAUGCCCAACAAACUGCAUUCCGAUCAUCAGAAGAACAAGAAGAGGAAGAACAAAAAGAAGUCUCAAACUAAAGGGUCAAGAGAUACAAACACAGUGAAACCUGUGAGAUGCAACAGCAUGGAGCGACUUUCACCCACGUUGUCUGGUGAUCAAGCUGUAGAGUCUCAUUCUAAUGAAUCAGAGAAGGUCCAGGAUGAGGUGACUUUACAUUACAGACUGUUGUAAUAUACUGAAUGAUCAUGAUAUUCAAGAAUGU